rnacentral:tRNA from 1 species
GCAGUGGUGGUUUCGUGGUAGAAUUCUUGCCUUGCAUGCAGGAAACCUGGGCUCGACACCUGGCCAGUGCA